UCAGUCGACUCCUACGGGGAGGCAGCAGUGGGGGAAUAUUGCACAAUGGGCGCAAGCCUGAUGCAGCCAUGCCGCGUGUGUGAAGAAGGCCUUCGGGUUGUAAAGCACUUUCAGUCGUGAGGAAGGUAGUGUAGUUAAUAGCUGCAUUAUUUGACGUUAGCGACAGAAGAAGCACCGGCUAACUCCGUGCCAGCAGCCGCGGUAAUACGGAGGGUGCGAGCGUUAAUCGGAAUUACUGGGCGUAAAGCGCAUGCAGGUGGUUGUUAAGUCAGAUGUGAAAGACCCGGGGCUCAACCUCGGAAUAGCAUUUGAAACUGGCAGACUAGAGUACUGUAGAGGGGGGUAGGAAUUUCAGGUGUAGCGGUGAAAUGCGUAGAGAUCUGAAGGAAUACCGGUGGCGAAGGCGGCCCCCUGGACAGAUACUGACACUCAGAUGCGAAAGCGUGGGGAGCAAACAGGAUUAGAUACCCUGGUAG
rnacentral:rRNA from 1 species